CCAGGAACAUCCCGAGAGCCAAGUUCCCAGAUGCCAGCCAAGGGCCAUCUGACCUGUUUUGAAUCUCAAUUUCCUGAUACAGAAAACAAAGGAUUGUCAGCUGACCUCUGUCCUGUGUGCCCAGUGGCCCCAGGUGACGUGUCUUCAAGAAGAGGCUGAGCUGCGGUGCUUGUAAGGUAUGAAUCCUGGGUGCUUCUCUAGAGAAUGCACUGGUGUUCAGGCCGCAAGGACGAAGGCUUUGAGGUCACUAGAGGGGAGGCAGAGGCUGCUUCCCAUUGCUUGCUCUUCCACUGAGGCCCACAGGGACAUGUGACACCCUCUUUUCCUCGAACUCUGCGACUCCACUGUGUGAAUCACGGUGGGGCUUACAGAGCUCCCCUUGGGCUCUGAGUCAUCCUAGUGUGGAUUGGCAUAGUUUGUUGAAGUGGGAGGAGUACUGCAUUUUGGAGGCAGGCAAUUAGCUAGUGGUUUUCUCUGGACUUGGUGGCGAUCCUUGUUAUGAAGUGAUUUAUGGAUUUUUUUUUUUUUUUUUUUUUUUUGAGGCAGGGUCUCAUUCUGUCACCCAGGCUGGAGUGCAGUGGUGCAAUGAUGGCUCACUGCAGCCUCGACCUGGGCUCAAGUGAUCCUCCACCUCAGCUUCCUGAGUAGCUGGGACCACAGAGUCAUGUGCUGUUCCUGGGGCUUGGAUGAUGUAGGGGAAGCAAGGUGAAAGUGGUAUCCCGUGGUUCCACGUUCUGUCCUGCUGUGGGGCUGUCCCUCACAUGCUUUCAGUGGCUGUUGCAGAGGAAGAGCCUCCGGAAAUCUGCGUGGGUCUCAGCCUUAGAUCCAAGGACAGUCCAAGGAAGUCCUAAGACCAUGGAGUUGGUGAUCUGGGAUCUGGGUUUGCUGAUAUUUCUCACCGUGAAUCUCUUGGUGGUGUUUGUGGGCACGAGAGGGGCAGAGAAUGGAGAGUGAGGCUACCACAUGAAGCGUCACCAGAGCUGCUCCCUGCUGCCUGCUCAGAGCACCCCGGAUCCACUGUUCAAUCUGCACAAGAUUCGGGGUCCAGACAUGGGAGACUUCAGCUGCCUCAGAGGACCGUGGACAGGGAAGGCCAGCCUCGCAUCCCUCUGUCCAUGCCUGGAAUGACUUUAAUAACCAAGAGUUUUAUUUUUGAAUUUGUAGCUGUCGUUCACUUUUUACCCACCCAUUCAAUAAACCUUACAGAAUUGC
ensembl:lncRNA SNHG17 small nucleolar RNA host gene 17